rnacentral:rRNA from 1 species
UGGGGAAUAUUGCACAAUGGGGGAAACCCUGAUGCAGCAACGCCGCGUGAGCGAAGAAGUAUUUCGGUAUGUAAAGCUCUAUCAGCAGGGAAGAAAAUGACGGUACCUGAGUAAGAAGCCCCGGCUAACUACGUGCCAGCAGCCGCGGUAAUACGUAGGGGGCAAGCGUUAUCCGGAUUUACUGGGUGUAAAGGGAGCGUAGACGGCGAGGCAAGUCUGAUGUGAAAGGCCGGGGCUCAACCCCGGGACUGCAUUGGAAACUGUUUUGCUUGAGUGCCGGAGAGGUAAGCGGAAUUCCUAGUGUAGCGGUGAAAUGCGUAGAUAUUAGGAGGAACACCAGUGGCGAAGGCGGCUUACUGGACGGCAACUGACGUUGAGGCUCGAAAGCGUGGGGAGCAAACA